CCUGAGGCUAUGAUUGGCUGCGUGAACGCCAAUCAGGGCUCGGCUGGGCGCGGGCCGCAGGAACGCAGCCGGACUCGCCAGUUUGAAUGCCCGCUGGGUUAUUCUCAGCGCUCCGCGGGUGAGGCCGGUUCCCCGUAGUCCCCUAGUGGGGUCCCGCGGUGACCCGAGCUGUCCAGCCCUCGGUCACCGCCCCCGAGGUUCCCCGGCUUGCCUGCGCUGUUCCCGCUCCCAGGACUGAGACCCGCUCCUCCUCUUCGCGCCUCCGGGCUCCGCUCCAGGCGCCGUCCUCCCACCCGCGGCGCCGGCGGCCAGGCCCGGGCUCUGCCACCGAGAAUACCCGGACUGAGACCGGAGCGGCUGCGGGGCCGCGACCUGGCUCCCGCCUCUCCGGGCCUCUGCGCCUGCCUUCUUCCACCCUUCCCGCCGCUCCCAGCGCCCCAGCGGCUGCUACGCGGCGAACUGUUCCUCUGCAGGGAGAAAGGAGAUGUCGGGGUGGAGGAGCGACCGACGGGGGGAGAAAGAGGGGGGCGGAAGGGACGUCAUUUGUCCCUAAACAGAAUAACCUGAGACCGCUGGUACCAUGGCUGUGGACGUGUCGGAUCGUGGGAAUCCCUAGCGCUGGUCGCGCUCCUGAGUCCGCUUCCAAACCUCAUUCACGACCCGAAAAGGAUGCAUGCAUAUAUAUGUGUGUGUGUAUGCACACAUAUAUAUGCUUUAGCGGAAUGGAAUAAAUAAUAUCUAUAAAAUAACUGUUAUAUGUAUUAAUAUAUAAAAUAUAUCUAAUUUAUGUAUUUUAGUGGAAUGGAAUCGAAUAGAAAAUACUGGCCUGCAUCACAAUGAGUGUAACUAUAGUUUCUUGAAACGUUU
rnacentral:lncRNA from 1 species